AAUGAACGUUGGCGGCAUGGAUUAGGCAUGCAAGUUGAGCGAGAAGUCUUUUUUGCUUGCAUUAAAGAUGGACAGCGGCGAAAGGGAGAGUAACGCGUAGAAAUGUACCCCGAGGUCUGGGAUAGCUGCGGGAAACUGCAGGUAAUACCGGAUAAUGUCUCCGGACCAAAGUUUUUCGCCUUGGGAGCAGUCUGCGUAUUAUUAGGUAGUUGGUGGGGUAAGAGCCUACCAAGCCUUAGAUGAUUAGCGGGCGUGAGAGCGUGGCCCGUCUCACUGGGACUGAGACACUGCCCAGACAUCUACGGAUGGCUGCAGUCGAGAAUCUUCCGCAAUGGGCGAAAGCCUGACGGAGCAAUGCCGCGUGGUGGAUGAAGGCCUUCGGGUUGUAAACACCUGUCAGUAGGGAGGAAAUUUUGACCGAUCUACAGAGGAAGUCCGUGCUAAGUACG
rnacentral:rRNA from 1 species